ACAACCAUAUCACAUUGAAAUACCAGUUCCCAUACAAUCACCGAAGUUAAGCAAUGUCAAGCCUGGUCAGUACCUAGAUGAGUGACUGCUUGGGAAUACCAGGUGU